GGGUGCAUUGGUUAGCAUGCCAGUCUCGCAAGCAGAGGGACGCGGGUUCAAAUCCUGCCUAGACCA